GGGGGGGGCAAGCGUUGUUCGGAAUUACUGGGCGUAAAGGGCUCGUAGGCGGCCAACUAAGUCGGAUGUGAAAUCCCCAGGCUUAACCUGGGAACUGCAUCCGAUACUGGAUGGCUUGAAUUCGGGAGAGGGAUGCAGAAUUCCAGGUGUAGCGGUGAAAUGCGUAGAUAUCUGGAGGAAUACCGGUGGCGAAGGCGGCAUCCUGGACCGACAUUGACGCUGAGGAGCGAAAGCUAGGGGAGCAAACGGGAUUAGAUACCCCGGUAGUCCUAGCCCUAAACGAUGAAUGCUUGGUGUGGCGGGUAUCGAUCCCUGCCGUGCCGAAGCUAACGCAUUAAGCAUUCCGCCUGGGGAGUACGGUCGCAAGGCUG
rnacentral:rRNA from 1 species